CCGCUCCUGCGGAGCCCGGGGAACCGGGCCGGGUCGCGGCCCCGGCGCGGCCGUUCGGGGCGGCAGGGGCCGCCC
rnacentral:tRNA from 1 species